rnacentral:rRNA from 1 species
GUGGGGAAUUUUGGACAAUGGGCGCAAGCCUGAUCCAGCAAUGCCGCGUGCAGGAAGAAGGCCUUCGGGUUGUAAACUGCUUUUGUACGGAACGAAACGGUCCUGGUUAAUACCUGGGGCUAAUGACGGUACCGUAAGAAUAAGCACCGGCUAACUACGUGCCAGCAGCCGCGGUAAUACGUAGGGUGCGAGCGUUAAUCGGAAUUACUGGGCGUAAAGCGUGCGCAGGCGGUGCUGUAAGACAGGCGUGAAAUCCCCGGGCUCAACCUGGGAAUUGCGCUUGUGACUGCAAAGCUGGAGUGCGGCAGAGGGGGAUGGAAUUCCGCGUGUAGCAGUGAAAUGCGUAGAUAUGCGGAGGAACACCGAUGGCGAAGGCAAUCCCCUGGGCCUGCACUGACGCUCAUGCACGAAAGCGUGGGGAGCAAACAGGAUUAGAAACCCCUGUAGUCC